rnacentral:tRNA from 1 species
GAGAGUAUAGCUCAAGUGGUAGAGUGCAUGCUCAGCAUGCACAAGGUCCUGGGUUCAAUUCCCAGUACCUCCU